rnacentral:rRNA from 1 species
GACGAACGCUGGCGGCGUGCUUAACACAUGCAAGUCGAACGGAAAGGCCCUGCUUUUGUGGGGUGCUCGAGUGGCGAACGGGUGAGUAACACGUGAGUAACCUGCCCUUGACUUUGGGAUAACUUCAGGAAACUGGGGCUAAUACCGGAUAGGAGCUCCUGCUGCAUGGUGGGGGUUGGAAAGUUUCGGCGGUUGGGGAUGGACUCGCGGCUUAUCAGCUUGUUGGUGGGGUAGUGGCUUACCAAGGCUUUGACGGGUAGCCGGCCUGAGAGGGUGACCGGCCACAUUGGGACUGAGGUACGGCCCAGACUCCAACGGGAGGCAGCAGUGGGGAAUAUUGCACAAUGGGCGGAAGCCUGAUGCAGCAACGCCGCGUGCGGGAUGACGGCCUUCGGGUUGUAAACCGCUUUCGCCUGUGACGAAGCGUGAGUGACGGUAAUGGGUAAAGAAGCACCGGCUAACUACGU